UGCCCAGCAACUCCUAUCCCUACCUCCUCGUGGUACUGGCCGGGGUUUUAAAUACCUUGGGGAAGAUCGGGUAACCAACCCCCGGUGGGAACUUUGGUCGUAUGCUGACAGGGAAGG
rfam:Aedes aegypti strain Liverpool supercont1.229 genomic scaffold, whole genome shotgun sequence.